rnacentral:rRNA from 1 species
UUGGAGGGCAAGUCUGGUGCCAGCAGCCGCGGUAAUUCCAGCUCCAAUAGCGUAUAUUAAAGUUGUUGCAGUUAAAAAGCUCGUAGUUGAACUUCGGGGUUUACUCAUUGGUCAGGCUUAGGUGUCUGCACUGGUGAGAUGGAUCUCUACCUUCUGAGGAACUUUCAUGCCAUUUGUUUGGUGUGAUGGGAAAUCAGGGCUGUUACUUUGAAAAAAUUAGAGUGUUUAAAGCAGACUAUCGUCUGAAUACAUUAGCAUGGAAUAAUGAAAUAGGACGGACUGAUUCUAUUUCGUUGGUUUCUAGGAUCACCGUAAUGAUUAAUAGGGAUAGUUGGGGGCAUUAGUAUUCAAUUGUCAGAGGUGAAAUUCUUGGAUUUAUUGAAGACUAACUACUGCGAAAGCAUUUGCCAAGGAUGUUUUCAUUAAUCAAGAACGAAAGUUAGGGGAUCGAAGACGAUCAGAUACCGUCGUAGUCUUAACCAUAAACUAUGCCGACUAGGGAUCGGACGAAGUUAAUUUUAUAAUGACUCGUUCGGCGCCUUACGGGAAAC